GGUCUUGGCAGGCGCUUGGUUGACAGCAGGUGGGAGGUCGAGGCCGCCUACUGCCGUGGCACGGAGAAUUUCCUAGGCGCCCCGUAGGCCAUGUGAGGGUAUCCGCGGGACUCUGGUGGUGCCCAGGGCUCGUCUGGCUGAUGCCUCAGGCCCAAGAAGUAGAGCAGAUCACAUGUGGGCCACUUAGAGCCAUUGAACCGAGAGUUGUUACCCGACGGCCUCUCUUGGGAGAAUAAAACCCAUUAUGCCCUAGUUAUGUCUUAAUGCCUGGGUGACGAUGAUGUAGCCGUUCAGUAUUCCUGAGCGCACGCAGAAGUUGUCUUGGCGCACUAUUUAAGAAAAACAUUAAUAGACGAGACCACCCAACCUUAAAAAAUCUUCUCUGGAUUACCGUGAAUUCUCCAGAUGAAACCUACCAUACAUUAACUCACACAAAAGGUCCAAAAUGUGCAAACAUUUUGUUGUUUUGCAAUAACAAGCCUGCAUUCCUUUUUUCUGUUUGAGCAAAUGGUUAUGCUGCUUGUAAAGUCAAGGGCUGUGGAGAGGAGGACACGGUAGGCUUUAAAUAGAGUGAGGGGAACAGUAGAGCACUAAAAGUUCUAGGAAAGGAGAUAAACUGCUUAUUCCAUUAGGUAAAAUGAAAAUGUAGUCAGAAGAAAUUAGUGGUAGAACCCGAGGCUGCCCAGAAUUAACACGAAUUUGCGAUAGCCUUAAUAUACAGUAACUUCUGUUGCUGUAGAAAAACUAUACAGCCACUAGUAUAGCAAGUUAUGUUAGCCAGGGAAAAAAGUUUACUCACCUGGUUGAAUGUGUAUGCCAAUUACACUUACUCCGUAUCCUGUUAGAGAAACUAAAACAUGGACUGGAAAAUUCUGUUUGUGAGAUUAUUUUCUAUGAAGAUUGAUUAUCCCAGAUACUAUUGGAGGGCCUUGGAAUAUAUUCCUCUAAUUUACUCUACCUAUCCCAUUUAAAGAAGCUGAAGAUUUAGGACAAAAACCAGUUGAAGAAUUCAAAGCUCUGGAUAAUCAGGCUGAUUUUGAUGAUGGAAAUUAUCUACCUUGUGCUAAUCAAGUCAAGGGCAUAUAUGAAGUGUUCAUAAUACAUUUCCAGGGAAUUCUAAAUAACACAAGACUUAACUUCACUAAUAGCUCUAUGAGCAAAACAGUAAGAUCCAGGAACACACCAGACAGUUUUGUUUGCCUUGAAACAAAAAACCUGGGUUCAAGUUCCUGCUCUAACAUCGACAGGUCUGUAACCUGA
rnacentral:lncRNA from 1 species